AAUGAUGUAGGACAUUCUAGAAUAGUCUUGAGAUGUAAGGAACCCUCCAAGGUUCCAGAGAGUUCCAUUGGUGCCUAUAAAUAGGUGAGGGCCUCAUUUGGCCAAGGCACCAAGCAAGUGAGCAUCCAAGCACUUGUAAAGGCUUCUUUGAGUAAUAGAAAGCUUCCAUUCUUUAAGGAGUUGCCUACCAAGCUUCUUAAGCUUUUGAGUCGCGAGUGUCUUAGCCGGGUGAGCUAAGUAUUGGGAGCAAGGCUGACUUAGCAAGAUCAAGCGUCUUGGCUUGUCUAAGUGCCGCACGAGCUUAGUGAACGACUAAGUCCGUGACAAGUGGUAUCAGAGCACGGUUACGAGGUGGGCAUACCAAAGGAAGCAUGUCGGGCUCUAACGUGGAGGANNNNNNNNNNNNNNNNNNNNNNNNNNNNNNNNNNNNNNNNNNNNNNNNNNNNNNNNNNNNNNNNNNNNNNNNNNNNNNNNNNNNNNNNNNNNNNNNNNNNAAUGUCACAAGCUGACCCAAAUGAGCCUCCCCAUGGCCUUAUAUAGGGCCAGGAAGCUUCUGGAGACUCCUAAGAAUGGGAAGAGUGUGGAAGGUUCUAGAGAAGUUUGGAGAAGUCCACACAAUUCUACACUAUGGUGGAAGGCACAAGAGGGGUCCGGGGCUUUCUAGAGAAGUCUAGAAGACUCUUGUAUAUACUUGUAUAUAGGCUUGUAACUAGAAUGAUGUAGGACAUUCUAGAAUAGUCUUGAGAUGUAAGGAACCCUCCAAGGUUCCAGAGAGUUCCAUUGGUGCCUAUAAAUAGGUGAGGGCCUCAUUUGGCCAAGGCACCAAGCAAGUGAGCAUCCAAGCACUUGUAAAGGCUUUCUUGAGAUAAUAAAGCUUCCAUUCUUUAAGGAGUUGCCUACCAAGCUUCUUAAGCUUUUGAGUUGCAAGUGUCUUAGCCUAGCAAGCUAAGCAUUGGGGAGCAAGGCUGACUUAGCAAGAUCAAGCGUCUUGGCUUGUCUAAGUGCCGCACGAGCUUAGUGAACGACUAAGUCCGUGACAAGUGGUAUCAGAGCACGGUUACGAGGUGGGCAUACCAAAGGAAGCAUGUCGGGCUCUAACGUGGAGGAGACUAGCGAGCAAACCCGUGGACGGGAGAUAGAACGUGCUGCACGAGGCCGAGGUAGGAAGGAUAAGUCUCAUGACGCCUUAGCCAACAUGGAGGCAAGGCUAGCCAAGGUGGAGCUAGCCAUGGCGGACACCCGGGAAGGGGUGGACUUGAUCGAGCAAGGCAUGGAGAAGGGAUUAGAGGAUCUAAGGGAACAGAUCCAAGACCUUCGCGAGGGAGUGCUAGGCUCACAAGUUCAGCCGGUGUCACAUGAGGAGUUCAUGUCCUUCCAAGACAAGGUCAUGACCAUGUUCGCUAGUGUGGAGUCAAGGAUGGAGGCCUUGGCUGCACGCAUGGAUGCCCGAGACCAAGAGAUCCGACAAGAGCUGGCCAUCUACAAGACUGCGGUGUCAGCACGAGUCAUGGCCACUCAUGAGGCACCAAGGGUGGAGGUGCCCAAGCCACACACGUUCAGUGGCAAGAGGGAUGCCAAGGAGCUGGAUAACUUCUUGUGUCACAUGGAGCGUUACUUUGAGGCAAUUACACUAACGGAUGAAGCCACUAAGGUACGCACCGCGACCCUCUACCUCACCGAUAAUGCUACUCUAUGGUGGCGUCGACGGUUUGCCGACAUAGAGAGAGGGACAUGCACCAUAGACACAUGGGAUGCCUUCAAGAGAGAAAUCAAGAGGCAAUUCUAUCCCGAAGAUGUGGCUUAUCUAGCAAGGAAGAGUUUGAAGCGUCUCAAGCACACGGGCUCGAUCCGUGAGUAUGUCAAAGAAUUCUCUACUCUUAUGCUUGAGAUACCUAACAUGGCUGAGGAGGAGCUGCUGUUCAACUUCAUGGACAACUUGCAAAGCUGGGCCGAGCAAGAGUUGAGGAGACGUGGUGUCCAAGACCUAGCCACGGCCAUGGCAGUAGCCGAGUCCUUAGUGGAUUAUAGAAGGGGAGACUCCUCCAAGCCCAAGCCACCAUCCAAGGGUAACCCGGCCAAAGGUGGGGGAGACAAGAGGUCGCAGGGCCACACUCCUAAGGAAGGAUCGAGCAAGGGCCCUAGUGGCAAGGAUGGCAAAGGCAAGGACAAGCGGAAGGAGUUCAAGCCCAGGACCAAUUGCUUCUUGUGCGAUGGUCCGCACUGGGCACGGGACUGCCCUAAGAGGAAGGCUUUAAAUGCUAUGAUCGAGGAGAAGGAGCAGGAAGACGAUGCUAAGAUGGGAUCGUUGCAGCUCCUAAAUGCCCUUAAGGCCAAGCCGAUGCCUAAGACGCCUCAAAGCAAAGGGCUGAUGUACGUGGAGGCCCUUGUGAAUGGUAAGGCCACCAAGGCCCUGGUGGACACAGGUGCCACUCACAACUUUGUCUCGGAGGAUGAGGCAAAAAGGUUGGAGCUCCAAGCAUCCAAAGAAGGAGGAUGGCUCAAGGCAGUCAAUUCAGCCGCCAAGCCAUCGCAGGGAGUAGCUCGCGGGGUGACUAUGCACAUUGGCUCGUGGGAAGGAAGGGUCAACUUCACAGUGGCACCCAUGGACGACUUCAAGAUGGUGCUAGGAAUGGAUUUCCUACAGAAGGUCAAGGCCGUGCCACUACCUUUCCUACGCUCAAUGGCCAUCCUAGAGGAGGAGAAGCCGUGCAUGGUCCCUACGGUCACUGAAGGUACGCUCAAGACCCCUAUGCUAUCUGCUAUGCAAGUAAAGAAGGGGUUAAAGAGGGAAGAGGUGACCUACCUCGCCACCUUAAAGGAAGAGAAGAAUGAUGGGUCGGGAGAACCCAUUCCUAAGGAAAUCGAGGGGGUCCUUGAUGAGUUCAAGGACGUGAUGCCGCCCGAGUUGCCUAAGAGACUUCCUCCUAGGAGAGAGGAAGAUCACAAGAUUGAGUUGGAGCCAGGAGCCAAGCCCCCUGCUAUGGGGCCAUAUAGGAUGGCACCACCUGAGUUGGAGGAGCUAAGGAGACAACUCAAGGAGUUGCUAGAUGCGGGGUUCAUCCAACCAUCCAAGGCUCCCUAUGGCGCGCCGGUUCUAUUUCAAAAGAAGCAUGAUGGGUCCCUACGAAUGUGCAUAGAUUACCGGGCACUCAAUAAGGUGACAGUGAAGAACAAGUAUCCCAUCCCGCUCAUUGCUGACUUGUUCGAUCAACUUGGAAGGGCUAGGUACUUCACGAAGCUGGACUUAAGGUCGGGCUAUUACCAAGUCAGGAUUGCGGAGGGAGAUGAGCCGAAGACUACGUGUGUGACCAGGUAUGGCUCAUAUGAGUUCUUAGUGAUGCCUUUUGGACUCACCAAUGCCCCAGCAACGUUCUGCACCCUCAUGAACAAGAUCUUCCACCCAUACUUGGACAAGUUCGUGGUGGUGUACUUGGAUGACAUAGUCAUCUACAGUAACACUCUAAAGGAGCACAAAGAGCACUUGAGGAAGGUCUUUAAGAUCUUAAGGCAGAACGAGCUAUACGUGAAGAAGGAGAAGUGUUCGUUUGCUAAGGAGGAAGUGAGCUUCCUUGGGCAUCGCAUCAGAGAUGGCAAGCUGAUGAUGGAUAAUAGCAAGGUGAAGGCCAUCCAAGAAUGGGAUCCACCAACCAAGGUACCUCAACUCAGAUCUUUCCUUGGUCUAGUUAAUUAUUACCGGCGGUUCAUAAAGGGUUAUUCGGCAAGGGCUGCCCCACUCACUGAUCUUCUCAAGAAGAAUAAGGCAUGGGAAUGGGAUGGAAGGUGCCAACAAGCCUUUGAGGACUUGAAGAAGGCUGUGACUGAGGAGCCAGUGUUGGCACUACCCGACCACACCAAGGUCUUUGAGGUACACACAGAUGCCUCAGACUUCGCUAUUGGGGGAGUCCUUAUGCAAGAGAGGCACCCAAUUGCAUUUGAGAGUCGCAAGCUAAACGACGCAGAGAGGCGUUACACGGUGCAAGAAAAGGAGAUGACCGCUAUCGUCCACUGCUUGCGCACCUGGAGGCACUAUCUGCUAGGGUCUCACUUCAUAGUGAAGACCGACAAUGUGGCCACUAGCUACUUCCAGACACAGAAAAAGUUGAGUCCUAAACAAGCUAGGUGGCAAGACUUCCUGGCCGAGUUCGACUAUACGCUGGAGUAUAAGCCAGGAAGUGCUAACCAUGUGGCCGACGCCCUAAGUCGCAAAGCCGAACUAGCGUCCAUGACGAGUCAGCCCCAAGGAGAUAUAGUGGAUCUUCUAAGGGAGGGAUUGCAACAUGAUCCAGUGGCUAAAAGCCUUAUCGCCCUGGCUCAUGAAGGAAAGACUAAGCGAUUUUGGGUGGAGGACGGCCUACUCUAUACCAAAGGGAGACGACUCUACGUGCCUAAGUGGGGGAACAUAAGGAGGAACCUGAUUAAGGAGUGCCAUGACACCAAGUGGGCUGGGCACCCUGGGCAACGACGCACUAGGGCACUACUUGAGUCGGCGUAUUAUUGGCCUCAGAUACGGGACGAGGUUGAGGCCUAUGUGAGGACUUGUCUUGUGUGCCAACAAGACAAGGUGGAGCAGCGACAACCUAGAGGCCUGUUAGAGCCACUACCUAUAGCAGAACGCCCAUGGGACAGCGUCACCAUGGACUUCAUCAUCGGGCUACCCAAGUCAGAGGACAAUGGGUCUAUCAUAGUGGUGGUGGAUAGGUUCUCUAAGUAUGCAACCUUCAUAGCAGCCCCGACUGACUGCACGGCGGAAGAGACGGCAAGGCUAUUCCUAAAGCACGUAGUCAAGUAUUGGGGGUUGCCUAAGUUCAUUAUCAGUGAUCGCGACCCACGCUUCACUGGGAAGUUUUGGACGGAACUCUUCAAGCUUAUGGGUUCGGAGCUUCAUUUCUCCACAAGCUUUCACCCACAGACAGAUGGACAGACUGAGAGGGUAAACGCUUUAUUGGAGCUCUACCUAAGGCACUUCGUGAGUGCCAACCAGAAAGAUUGGGCUAAGUUGCUAGAUGUAGCCCAGUUCUCAUACAACCUACAAAGGAGUGAGGCGACCAACAAGAGUCCGUUCGAGCUAGCUACGGGACAACAACCGUUAACUCCUCACACCCUAACAAUUGGCUACACGGGGAGAAGUCCAGCGGCUUUCAAGUUCGCAAAAGGGUGGCACGAGCAAGCUGAUAUAGCACGCUCAUACUUGGACAAGGCCGCUAAGAAAAUGAAGAAGUGGGCUGACAAGAAGCGACGACACACGGAGUAUAAGGUCGGAGACAUGGUGCUUGUCAAGCUCCUUCCUCAACAAUUCAAGUCCCUAAGGCCGGUGCACAAGGGCCUUGUGAGGAGGUAUGAAGGACCCUUCCCCAUACUUGGGAAGGUCGGCAAGGUGUCCUAUAGAGUCGAGCUACCCCCGAGGUUGAAGAUUCAUCCUGUCUUCCAUGCCAGCUACUUGAAGCCCUAUCAUGAAGACAAGGAUAAUCCAAGCCGAGGGCUGUCCAAGAGGGCACCUACAGCGGUCGUGACCUCCUAUGAUAAGGAGGUAGAACUCAUCCUCGCAGACCGGGUCAUCAGGAGACGAGGGGUACCUCCUGCUACGGAAUACUUAGUGAAAUGGAAAGGGCUACCAGAAAGUGAGGCUAGCUAGGAGCCAGCAGAGGCACUAUGGCAGUUCCAGGAACAGAUCGAGCGGUUCCGGGCAGAAGGCGCGACGAGGACGCCUGCGGCAUAGGUGGGGGAGAGUGUCACAGGCUGACCCAAAUGAGCCUCCCCAUGGCCUUAUAUAGGGCCAGGAAGCUUCUGGAGACUCCUAGAAUGGGAAGAGUGUGGAAGGUUCUAGAGAAGUCUGGAGGAGUCCACACAAUUCUACACUAUGGUGGAAGGCACAAGAGGAGUCCGGGGCUUUCUAGAGAAGUCUAGAAGACUCUUGUAUAUACUUGUAUAUAGGCUUGUAAACUAGAAUGAUGUAGGACAUUCUAGAAUAGUCUUGAGAUGUAAGGAACCCUCCAAGGUUCCAGAGAGUUCCAUUGGUGCCUAUAAAUAGGUGAGGGCCUCAUUUGGCCAAGGCACCAAGCAAGUGAGCAUCCAAGCACUUGUAAAGGCUUCUUUGAGUAAUAGAAAGCUUCCAUUCUUUAAGGAGUUGCCUACCAAGCUUCUUAAGCUUUUGAGUCGCGAGUGUCUUAGCCGGGUGAGCUAAGUAUUGGGAGCAAGGCUGACUUAGCAAGAUCAAGCGUCUUGGCUUGUCUAAGUGCCGCACGAGCUUAGUGAACGACUAAGUCCGUGACAUUAGGC
rnacentral:lncRNA from 1 species